rnacentral:rRNA from 1 species
CAGUAGCCGCGGGAAUACGAAGGGGGGCAAGCGUUGUUCGGAAUUAUUGGGCGUAAAGGGUGCGUAGGCGGCCCCGCAAGUCUCAUGUGAAAUCUUCAGGCUCAACUUGAAGUCUGCAUGGGAAACUGCGGGGCUGGAGUAUGGGAGAGGUGAGUGGAAUUCCUGGUGUAGCGGUGAAAUGCGUAGAUAUCAGGAGGAACACCUGUGGCGAAAGCGGCUCACUGGACCAUAACUGACGCUGAGGCACGAAAGCUAGGGGAGCAAACAGGAUUAGAUACCCGGGUAGUCCCUGUCUCUUAUA